rnacentral:rRNA from 1 species
UACGUAGGGUGCAAGCGUUGCCCGGAUUUAUUGGGCGUAAAGGGCGCGUAGGCGGCUACGCACGUCCGUUGUGAAAUCGCCCGGCUCAACUGGGCGGGGUCGGCGGAUACGGCGUGGCUGGAGCAAGCUAGGGGGCAGUGGAAUUCCCGGUGUAGUGGUGGAAUGCGUAGAGAUCGGGAGGAAGGCCGGUGGCGAAGGCGGCGCUCUGGAACAUUUCUGACGCUGAGGCUCGAAAGCGUGGGGGGCAAACAGG